rnacentral:rRNA from 1 species
UACGUAGGGCGCAAGCGUUGUCCGGAAUUAUUGGGCGUAAAGAGCUCGUAGGCGGCCAGUUGCGUCUGCUGUGAAAUCCCGGGGCUCAACCCCGGGCUUGCAGUGGAUACGGGCUGGCUGGAGGCAGGCAGGGGAGAACGGAAUUCCCGGUGUAGCGGUGAAAUGCGCAGAUAUCGGGAGGAACACCUGCGGCGAAGGCGGGUAGCUGGGCCGACACUGACGCUGAUGCGCGAAAGCCAGGGGAGCGAACGGG